UUUUUGGGAAUAAUUUAAAGUCUAAUCUGCCCACUGAUUAUAAAAUUAAAGGGCUGCAGUAUUUUGACUGUACAAAGGUAGCAUAAUCAAUAGUCUCUUAAUUGGUGACUUGUAUGAAAGAUUUGAUGAAAUAUAAACUGUCUCUAUUAAAUUUAUAAAAUUUAAUUUUUUAGUUAAAAAGCUAAGAUUUUUUUAAAAGACGAGAAGACCCUAUAGAGUUUUAUAAUUUAUUUAUUUUUAAUUUUGUUUAAAUAUUAAAGUUAUAAGUAAAUGAAUUAUUUUAUUGGGGUGAUAGAAAAAUUUAAUAAACUUUUUUUUAAAAUUUUUACAUUAAUUUAUGAAUAUAUGAUCCGUAAAUUACGAUUAAAAGAUUAAAUUACCUUAGGGAUAACAGCGUAAUUUUUUUUUUUAGUUCAAAUAAGAAAAAGAGUUUGCGACCUCGAUGUUGGAUUAAGAUAAAAUUUAUAAUGCAAAAGUUUAAAAUUUUUGAUCUGUUCGAUCAUUAAAAUCUUACA
rnacentral:rRNA from 1 species